CCUACGGGACGCACCAGUGGGGAAUAUUGCACAAUGGGCGCAAGCCUGAUGCAGCCAUGCCGCGUGUAUGAAGAAGGCCUUCGGGUUGUAAAGUACUUCCAGCGGGGAGGAAGGUGUUGUGGUUAAUAACCACAGCAAUUGACGUUACCCGCAGAAGAAGCACCGGCUAACUCCGUGCCAGCAGCCGCGGUAAUACGGAGGGUGCAAGCGUUAAUCGGAAUUACUGGGCGUAAAGCGCACGCAGGCGGUUGAUUAAGUUAGAUGUGAAAUCCCCGGGCUUAACCUGGGAAUGGCAUCUAAGACUGGUCAGCUAAAGUCUUGUAGAGGGGGGUAGAAUUCCAAGUGUAGCGGUGAAAUGCGUAGAGAUGUGGAGGAAUACCGGUGGCGAAGGCGGCCCCCUGGACAAAGACUGACGCUCAGGUGCGAAAGCGUGGGGAGCUAACAGGAUUAGAUACCCGCGUAGUC
rnacentral:rRNA from 1 species